rnacentral:tRNA from 1 species
CAACUAAAUAGUGUAUUAGCACAUAAGAUUUUGAGCCUUAUAGAUUGGAUUAUAA